rnacentral:tRNA from 1 species
GGGCGCUUAGCUCAGCGGUAGAGCACUCCCCUUACACGGGAGGUGUCGCAGGUUCGAGUCCUGCAGCGCCCA